GUCUACGGCCAUACCACCCUGAAUGCGCCCAAUCUCAUCUGAUCUCGGAAGCUAAGCAGGGUCAGACCUGGUUAGUACUUGGAUGGAAUUCCGCCUGGGACUACCGGGUGCUGCAGACU
ensembl:rRNA 5S_rRNA 5S ribosomal RNA